UUGGAGGGCAAGUCUGGUGCCAGCAGCCGCGGUAAUUCCAGCUCCAAUAGCGUAUAUUAAAGUUGUUGCAGUUAAAAAGCUCGUAGUUGAAUUUCGGGGUUAGUAGGUUGGUCAUGCCACUGGUAUGUACUGGUCUCACUGAUUCCUCCUUCCUGAUGAGCCGUAAUGCCGUUAAUUUGGUGUUGCGAGGAAUCUGGACUGUUACUUUGAAAAAAUUAGAGUGUUUAAAGCAAGCUAACGCUUGAAUACAUUAGCAUGGAAUAAUGAAAUAGGACGUUCGAUCCUAUUCGUUGGUUUCUAGGAUUGACGUAAUGAUUAAUAGGGAUAGUUGGGGGCAUUAGUAUUCAAUUGUCAGAGGUGAAAUUCUUGGAUUUAUUGAAGACUAACUACUGCGAAAGCAUUUGCCAAGGAUGUUUUCAUUAAUCGAGAACGAAAGUUAGGGGAUCGAAGACGAUCAGAUACCGUCGUAGUCUUAACCAUAAACUAUGCCGACUAGGGAUCGGAUGAUGUUAAUUUUUUAAUGACUCAUUCGGCGCCUUACGGGAAACCAAAGUGUUUGGGUUC
rnacentral:rRNA from 1 species